ACCAAGACAAACGACCGCGACUAGGUCCCUC
rnacentral:sRNA from 1 species